AUGACCUUCAGCUCCUGCACCUUAUCCUUAAUUUUCUUCUUCGCUUCUUCCUGGUACGCAUCUGCUGCUUUCAUGAGCGCCAAAACCGCCUUCCUCGCGUCCUCCAGCUCCCCCGCCUUCUCCUUAAUUUGCUUCAUUGCCGCUUCUUGGUAUGUAUCAGCGGUGUUCAUUAGCAUCAGACCUGCCUUCCUCGUGUUCUCCAAUUCCUCUGCCUUUGCCCUAAUUUGCUUCUUAGCUUCCUCUUGGUACCUAUCGGCAGCAUUCAUGAAGAGCAGGCCCGCCUUCCGGGUGUCCUCCGUUUGCUUGGACAGCUCACCUGAUAGUCCGGUGUUUUGGCGCUCCAGCUCUCGCACCUUGUGCCCCAGUGUCAAGACCUGA
rnacentral:rRNA from 1 species